GCUGGCGGCGUGCUUAACACAUGCAAGUCGAACGGGAACCUCUGGAUUCGUCUGGAGGGGAGAGUGGCGAACGGGUGAGUAACACGUUGGUGACCUGCCUCGAAGACGGGGAUAACCACUGGAAACGGUGGCUAAUACCCGAUGGUCUCGGUGAUUCGGUUCAUCGAGUAAAGCUCUGGCGCUUCGAGAGGGACCUGCGGCCCAUCAGCUAGUUGGUAGGGUAAUGGCCUACCAAGGCGAAGACGGGUAGGGGACGUGAGAGCGUGACCCCCCACACUGACACUGGGAUACGGGUCAGACUCCUACGGGAGGCAGCAGUGAGGAAUAUUGCGCAAUGAGCGAAAGCUAGACGCAGCAACGCCGCGUGGGUGAUGAAGGCUUUCGAGUCGUAAAACCCUUUUCUGGGGGAAGAGGAAGGACGGUACCUCAGGAAUAAGCCUCGGCUAACUAUGUGCCAGCAGCCGCGGUGAUACAUAGGAGGCGAGCGUUAUCCGGAUUUACUGGGCGUAAAGAGCGUUGAGGCGGCCCUGUAAGUUGGACGUGAAAGCUCCCGGCCCAACUGGGAGAGGUCGUUCAAUACUGCAGGGCUUGAGGGCAGCAGAGGGGGGUGGAAUUACCGGUGUAGUGGUGAAAUGCGUAGAUAUCGGUAGGAACACCAGUGGCGAAGGCGGCCCCCUGGGCUUCUCCUGACGCUGAAUGCGAAAGCUAGGGGAGCAAACGGGAUUAGAAACCCCGGUAGUCCUAGCCGUAAACGAUGGAUACUAGUGUAGGGGGCGAAAAAUCCCUUCUGUGCCGAAGCUAACGCGUUAAGUAUCCCGCCUGGGGAGUACGGCCGCAAGGCUAAAACUCAANGAAUUGA
rnacentral:rRNA from 1 species